GUAGGUGGCAAGCGUUGUCCGGAAUUAUUGGGCGUAAAGCGCGCGCAGGCGGUUCUUUAAGUCUGAUGUGAAAGCCCACGGCUCAACCGUGGAGGGUCAUUGGAAACUGGAGAACUUGAGUACAGAAGAGGAAAGCGGAAUUCCACGUGUAGCGGUGAAAUGCGUAGAGAUGUGGAGGAACACCAGUGGCGAAGGCGGCUUUCUGGUCUGUAACUGACGCUGAGGCGCGAAAGCGUGGGGGCAAACAGGGAUUAGAUACCCUGGUAGUCCACGCCGUAAACGAUGAGUGCUAAGUGUUAGGGGGUUUCCCGCCCCUUAGUGCUGCAGCUAACGCAUUAAGCACUCCGCCUGGGGAUACGGCCGCAAGGCUG
rnacentral:rRNA from 1 species